rnacentral:rRNA from 1 species
UACGAGUGGUGCAAGCGUUAUUCGGAAUAAUUGGGCGUACAGGGUGUGUAGGCGGCAUGUUAAGUCUGUUGUUAAAUUCUCCGGCCUAACCGGAGACAGGCAGCGGAAACUGGCGUGCUAGAGGGUGGAAGAGAGAAGUGGAAUUCUCGGUGUAGCGGUAAAAUGCGUAGAUAUCGAGAGGAACACCGAUGGCGAAGGCAGCUUCUUGGUCCAUUCCUGACGCUGAUACACGAAAGCGUGGGGAGCAAAC